UCCGAAUUGGUGUAGUGGCUAACAUUUGACGCUCUCAUUUACCUCACUAGAUGUAGACCAGUGCCGUCAAGCCCGGGGUUCGAUUCCCCGAUUCGGAG